UACGUAGGGUGCAAGCGUUAAUCGGAAUUACUGGGCGUAAAGCGUGCGCAGGCGGUUAUGUAAGACAGGUGUGAAAUCCCCGGGCUUAACCUGGGAACUGCAUUUGUGACUGCAUAGCUAGAGUACGGUAGAGGGGGAUGGAAUUCCGCGUGUAGCAGUGAAAUGCGUAGAUAUGCGGAGGAACACCGAUGGCGAAGGCAAUCCCCUGGACCUGUACUGACGCUCAUGCACGAAAGCGUGGGGAGCAAACGA
rnacentral:rRNA from 1 species